AGACGCUAUUCCCUAAGAUUAACCCAUGCAUGUUUUUGACAUUUGAAAAAUGGACUGCUCAGUAAUACUCACUUUAUUUUAUGUAAAUUUUUAAUUAACUACGUUAAAGUGUAGAUAAGAUGUUUACAGUAAGAGUGAGACCUAUCAGCUAGUUGUUAAGGUAAUGGCUUAACAAGGCUGUGACGGGUAACGGUAUUACUUUGUAAUAUUCCGGAGAAGGAGCCUGAGAGACGGCUACUAAGUCUAAGGAUUGCAGCAGGGGCGAAACUUGACCUAUGGAUUUUAUCUGAGGCAGUUAUGGGAAGUAAUAUUAUAUUGUUUCAUAUUUUAAAAGUAUAUGAGGUGAUUAAUUGGAGGGCAAAUCAAGUGCCAGCAGCCGCGGUAAUACUUGUUCCAAGAAUGUGUAUGAUGAUUGAUGCAGUUAAAAAGUCCGUAGUUUAUUUUUUAAGAAGCAAUAUGAGGUGUACUGUAUAGUUGGGAGAAAGAUGAAAUGUGACGACCCUGACUGGACGAAC
rnacentral:rRNA from 1 species